AUGCAGCAGCGGCAUCAGGUCGCGACACUGCCUCACCCCAAUUCCACCAGCGACUGCAGCUGCCACUGCCGUUUCUCGUUCCACGCCAUCGGUCACGGGGUGCUGGAGCCUAUCCCAGCUGACUUCGGGCGAAAGGCGGACUACACCCUGAACCGGUCGCCAGUCAGUCGCAGGGCACAUAUAGACAUGGACAACCGUUCGCACUCACAUUCACACCGUCACUGAGUGGCAACUGAACCCACGCUGCCCGCACCAAAGUCAGGCGAGUGUACCACUACAGAUUUAAGAAAAAUAGCAACAACAAAAACUUAAGCGAAAUUAUCAUCUCUCUCAACAAGCUCUCUUGUGACUCUUGGAAAUGCAUGCAGCGAGGUCAGCUCGUGAAAGCUAUCCCCGCGAGGACGUCAGGACUUGCGGUUCAAAUUACUCAUGAGUACGUUCACUGCGUAGUACGUCGUUCCUUGCGCAAACGAAUCACUCAUUGUACAAGUACAUCGCUCCUUAGCGGAUCACAAACGAAGAAAGCUCAACGAACGAAUCGCGAACGAUGAGUUCACGAACGAAUCACUCUUCAGUUCCUCAGUACACCAAUUCACCGAACGAAUCACUCAGUUCACUUAGGUCCCUCCCCCGCCCGCACGGCGCUGCCUGACGCUGGCUGCUCAUUGGUCAUUCGCCGCAGUGAGUGACAACGCUGGAGAAUCGCCAAUCACAUGGCAGUACGUUUAUUGAAGUCCCGCCCCCGCAGCAGAACGGAAGAUGAAUGCAUUUGUUCGUUUGUGAGUGUUUGAGUUAUUGCGUCAACUUCUGCCUCGACCCUUGAGGCAGCUCCGGCAUAUUCUGGAGCAGCUCGAGCGUCCUACGUGUUUAUCAAUGAUAAACAGCUAUUUUAGAGGAUUUCGACCGAUCUUUCAAGGCACACAGAAUAUUGUGUUCUAUGGCUAUAUAAACAUGGCGCCCACCAAAAGAAAGAUUAGACUUCCAUCUUUCAAACAAAAAAAGAGUUUGUUUCUACUUUUUUUCGCCCGUUCUUUAGUAAUUAGCGGUAGAACAUAGGUAAGCUAUACCAAAAUUCUAAGUUGUAUGAUGCACUGCUGCCAUCUAGUGUCCGUUCCUAUGGGCAUUAAAAUUGCUCUCAGGCCUAAUCCUAUGGUGAGUGACGUCAGCCCCCUCUGAAGCCUAUGACGCAAAAAAACGUAAAACUACGUCUUUGGGAUUAGGUUAUCAAGUUUUAAAAGACGUAAAACUACGUUUUUUUGGUCUUAAAUGGGUUCUGCCAUUUUUCAGAAAUUGGGACCCAGCCAUUUUUGACAAUUUGGACUGAUUUUUGAAGGCCUACAGACAAUUGUGUUCUAUAGCUAUAGAACAAUGGAACCCACCAAAAGAAAGAUUUAACCCUCUUCUUUCAUCAGGAGAAAAAGUACAUUUCUACCUUUUACCGUUCUUUAGUAAACAGCAGUUGAACAUAGGUAAGUUUCUUGAACAUACCUGUUUGGUGAAACAAAAACAUUCACUUUGAUGCAAAUUUAUUUUGCUUUUAUGAUAGCUCAAAUAGCUAAAUAAUAUUUUCCAUUAUAUAACAACAUAAACGACCCAAAAAAGUGUAUUUUGUCAUGUGUGUGUGUUCCGGGUUUUAUCUUCCCCCCUGUUUCAUACAAACACCUGCUCCUGUGAGCAUCUUCACCACCUGUGCCUCGUUCACCCUAAUUACCUAUUGCAUUUAACCUCGUGUCUCAUUCCCUCUCGUCGCCGGUUCGCUGUACCUUGUCGUCGCGUUCCAGCAUUCCUUGUUUCCACGUCACAGACUCCCAGUAAGACUCGACCCUGUUCCGAUGAUCGACCUCGCCUCUUUGCCUCGUGUUUUUGGAUCCUGUUGCCUUUCUUGGAUCGCCUGCCUGUGUACCGACCUAUGCCCGUCUAUUAAACCUCUCUUUUUGGAAACUG